rnacentral:rRNA from 1 species
GACGAACGCUGGCGGCGUGCUUAACACAUGCAAGUCGAACGGAAAGGCCCUGCUUUUGUGGGUUGCUCGAGUGGCGAACGGGUGAGUAACACGUGAGUAACCUGCCCUUGACUUUGGGAUAACUUCAGGAAACUGGGGCUAAUACCGGAUAGGAGCUCCUGCUGCAUGGUGGUGGUUGGAAAGUUUGGGCGGUUGGGGAUGGACUCGCGGCUUAUCAGCUUGUUAGUGGGGUAGUGGCUUACCAAGGGUUAGACGGGUAGCCGGCAUGGGAGGGUGAACGGCCACAUUGCGACUGAGGGAGGGACCAGAAGCCUACGGGCGGCAGCAGGGGGGAAUAUUGCGCAAUGGGCGGACGCCUGAUGCAGCGACGCCGCGUGCGGGAUGACGGCCUUCGGGUUGUAAACCGCUUUCGCCUGUGACGAAGCGUGAGUGACGGUAAUGGGUAAAGAAGCACCGGCUAACUACGUG